rnacentral:rRNA from 1 species
UUGGAGGGCAAGUCUGGUGCCCGCAGCCGCGGUAAUUCCAGCUCCAAUAGCGUAUAUUAAAGUUGUUGCAGUUAAGAAGCUCGUAGUUGAAUCUCGGGAUCAAAUUGUCGGUCGUGCCUCGGUACGCACUGGUAUUAUUGGUUCCUACCUUCUGAAGAACCGCGAUGUCAUUAAUUUGGUGUCGUGGGGAAUCAGGACUGUUACUUUGAAAAAAUUAGAGUGUUUAAAGCAGGCUUACGCUUGAAUACAUUAGCAUGGAAUAAUGAAAUAGGACGUUUGAUUCUAUUUUGUUGGUUUCUAGGAUUGACGUAAUGAUUAAUAGGGAUAGUUGGGGGCAUUAGUAUUCAAUUGUCAGAGGUGAAAUUCUUGGAUUUAUUGAAGACUAACUACUGCGAAAGCAUUUGCCAGGAUGUUUUCAUUAAUCAAGAACGAAAGUUAGGGGAUCGAAGACGAUCAGAUACCGUCGUAGCCUUAACCAUAAACUAUGCCGACUAGGGAUCGGAUGAUGUUAAUUUUUUAAUGACUCAUUCGGCGCCUCACGGGAAACCAAAGUGUUUGGGUUC